CGAGGAAACUUGUGCUAAUACCGGAUAAGUCUUUACGGAGAAAGCUUUAUGCACCAUUGGAUGAGCCUGCACUUGAUUAGUUUGUUGGUGGGGUAAUGGCCUGCCAAGACUGUGAUCAAUAGCUGAUUUGAGAGGAUGAUCAGCCACAUUGGGACUGAGACACGGCCCAAACUCCUACGGGAGGCAGCAGUGGGGAAUCUUGCACAAUGGAGGAAACUCUGAUGCAGCGAUGCCGCGUGAGUGAAGAAGGCCUUUGGGUUGUAAAGCUCUUUCGUCGGGGAAGAAAAUGACUGUACCCGAAUAAGAAGGUCCGGCUAACUUCGUGCCAGCAGCCGCGGUAAUACGAAGGGACCUAGCGUAGUUCGGAAUUACUGGGCUUNAAGAGUUCGUAGGUGGUUGAAAAAGUUGGUGGUGAAAUCCCAGAGCUUAACUCUGGAACUGCCAUCAAAACUUUUCAGCUAAAGUAUGAUAGAGGAAAGCAGAAUUUCUA
rnacentral:rRNA from 1 species